rnacentral:rRNA from 1 species
GAGCAAAUUCACUGAGUGAAGCUGGAAUCGCUAAAAUCGCGGAUCAGCAUGCCGCGGUGAAUACGUUCCCGGGCCUUGUACACACCGCCCGUCACACCACGAGAGUUUGUAACACCCGAAGUCGGUGAGGUAACCUUUUAGGAGCCAGCCGCCGAAGGUGGGACAGAUGAUUGGGGUGAAGUCGUAAAAAAAGGUGCCCUUUAGA